AAAAAUUUAAAGGGCUAAAUUGUAUUAUUAAAAGAUGGCUAAAUUAUAGAAAACCUUCUUAUAAAUACUCUUUGUUUCAUUUUCUAUUUCUAACUUUUAAAAUUUUAUAUUUUAUCCUCUCAAUAUUUCAAGUUGUUGCAUUUAACCUCCUCUGUUACGGUUCCAUCACUAUUCCGUCCAUUUCUUAUAAUUUCUACCGAAAAUAUUUAAGAAUUUAUUAAAAAUUAAUUUUUUACAGAAAAAAGUAAGGGUAGUUUGAUCAUUUUACCCUCCCCAUUAAUGUCGCACCUCCAUUCAAAAUAUUUCUGAAAUUUACUGACUGUCCUUAGUGCAAGUGGCAAAGGGUUUGGUGAUUGAUAUCCGAGGUUCCAAGUUCGAAUCUUAGUUGAUUCAUAUUUUCAGCUAAGUUUAUUUCUAAAAUGAAAUAAAUGAAACGGGUAGCAUGUUACCUAUCUCUCAAAAAAAAAAAUUCUGAAAUUUUAAAGGGGCAAAAUAUAGUUUUUUGAAAAUUAGAAAAAAAAGCGAAUAUUUAUAAGGAAAUUUUAUAUAUUUUAGCCUUAAAAUAAUUAAUAUUUUUAUCAUGUUUUUUUUUAAGCUAAAUGUACCUCCAAAAAAAAAAAAGGAUGUAGAUUAAUUUUACACUUUGUCCAUCCAAAUAACCAAUAUAUUUUUCACACGAAAUUUAUUAAUUUUCGUUUUCUUUAAUAUUAAAGAUCUAAAAUGAGUGUCUACAUUCUUCCAUGGAUGACCUUAUGAUUUAUACCCUACUUCUAGGUGUACAACCUUAAAAUUAGCAUUUCUCUUUAUUAUAUGGGUCAUCAUUUUCUGUGCUUCAAAUAAUGAAAAAGGAAUUGGAAAGGGUUAAAUAAUGUUAUUAAAAGAAUUAAUUUUGAUAUCGAUGGUAUAAUAAUUAAAUUUGACAGUUUUUUAACUCUAGAAUGAGAGAAAGUUUUCAGAAAUAAGCUACUUUUUUUUGAGAAAAAAAAUAAGCUACUUUGUUGUGAGAAUUUUGUGGGUUAGGGUAUGUCAAGAAGGUAAAUGAGUUAGCUUUUGAAUCCGAAAAGCAGAACAUCCUAUUUGAAUUUCUAGUUCUCUAAUAGGGUAAAAAUAUCCAGUAGUUUCACUAAAAACUUUAUCAAUCGUUUUUUGAAUAUCUUUUCUCGAUUGAUAUUUCAGAAAAAAAACCCCAACCGAACUAAAUAGGUCCCAAAUCAAACACUUUAUUUUGGACACUAAAAAAGUUGGGUCGAAACCGAUCAUAUCUAGUGCAGUUGACUAAGAACUUGAUAGUUGGUAUUCGAGGUUCUUAAUUCAAAGCCUAGUUGCUUAAUAUUUCUUCUUUUUUUUUUUUUUUGAGAAAAAAGUAGCGUGUUACUUACUUCAUUCAUAAGAAUGAUGAAUUAAGCAUCAGGAGUGAGGAAGUAAAGCGAAAAAAAAAUAGUAUAGUACGAAACACUAAAACAUUAAGACAAAGGUCGUUUGGGCGAAAGGGAGUCCUUCCACUGGGUCACAAAUUGCUUGACCUUACCCACUACCAUCAUUGGAUCGACGUUAGCCUUUUGAAAGAUGAUACUAUUCCUUAUGUCCCAGAUGAUCCACCAACAGGCCGACAGAUUGGUCAAUCUGGUUCGAGAUAGCAGAGCACUGUUCCAAGAUAAUUAACGAAGUGGCAUUUUAACGCAUGAUAAUUAAGUUUAUGAUUAUUGUUUAUAGCUCUUGUUCCACUCUGGUGUAGAGCAUCAUAUUGCUCGAUAACGUGCACUUGUUGUAUGUGCUAGUAACUAAGAUGCACUAUAUUUUGUAUCCUGCUAGAUUCUCACCACUUUAGAUUUUUUUUUUUUUUUUUAGCAAAUACUUUACUGUGAGUGUUUGCAACUAAAAGUAGAAGGAGAGAGUAAACCAACAAGCACUGGAACAAAAAUGUUCCAAACAUUCUUCAAUGAAAUUAAAACUUAAAAGAAACAUUGAAUCUUAGAACAACAUCUCAAAAUUUUGAACCGCGAACAGGCAAAAAAUAAAUGCGAGUUAAUGCAGGAAACCAAACAAUUAAUGGCAACUUCAACUUGCAUUAAUUAUAAGCCUCUUUAACCUUAGAAAACAAACGAAAUCAACCGACAUAGUAACGAUUCUAUACGAGCCAGUAUUUUCAGUCACAUCAACUCAUGAAAAAAGAUCACAUGUUGAACUGUACCCUGCUUUAUUAAAAUGUAUAAGAUGGCUAUCUCAUUAAUGAUGGAUUUAUUACCAUCUACAUUUGCUAAAAAAUUAGCAAAAUUUGAAUAUUUAGAAUUGCCUAGCUAAGUUCCGGUCUGACUCGUCUUUGAAACAGCUUCUCUAUUUCGAAAAACUGUGGUUAUAUCUUUAGCAAAUGAAGAACUUGGAACUUUUAUAUGGUAAGAAUCUAAAAUGAAUUUUUCGACCUCUAAAAAUAGAACCUUUCACACUUUAGUAGAAAAGGUUGUUAUAACUUCUUAAUGAUUUUUUAAUCGAUCGUCCCUAGUACAAGGGGCAAAAUGCUUGAUGGUUUAUACCUGAGAUCUCAAGUUCAAAUUCUAGUUGAUUCAAAUUUCUAGCUAAAUUUAUUUCUAAAUGAAAUAAAUGAAGCGGAUAGUAUGCUACCUAUCUCUCUCAAAAGAAAAAACUUCUUAAUGAUUUUUCAGGCAAUUUUACUUGCGCAAUAUAUCUAGAAAUUCAUCUGUUUAUAUGCCUACAAGCAUAUAUUAUUUUUUCCAUUUAAAAUCACCGCACUUUGCAAAUUUCCAACAUUUAUCUAGAAUUCUUAUUCUUAGGCUUUAUUGAAUUAAUGAGCCCCAUUAAAUGCCUUGCUAAUCUCUCUCUUAAUUUUCCAAAGACAUUGUCUAGUAAUCCAUGAGGACACAGCCAAACCAUGCAUUAACUAAGAGGAAUGUGUCUUGACCUAAACAUUAGUGCACAUGUAUAUAUAUAUAUAUAUAUAUAUAUAUAUAAAAUUAAGCUGGAAUACUAUCAAUAGCACCAAGCUAUUGGUGCUAUUAGUUUUUUAGCCCUUGGAUUGAGAAAUGUGCGGUUAGAAUGAUAUGGGUCCCUGAGGGUUGAGUGGAUGGUUGGUCGAAUAGUAUAAUCUAAUGGGUAAAAUUAUCCAGCCCUUGAUGCUAUUGAUAGUAUCCCAGCCGGACUCUCUCUCUCUCUCUCUCUCUCUCUCUCUCUCUCUCUCUCUCUCUCUCUCUCUAUAUAUAUAUAUAUAUAUAGACACACACACACACACAAUCAUGUACUUUGCACUCAGCACGGACGAAAGAGAAAUUUCCUGGCAUUGAGGAGACACUAACAAACAAACACGUAAGUAGAGCACUCACCAAACCAACAUUAUAUUUUUUUUCUAAUCUAACGUGCGUGUAUGUAUAAUAGCCCUUCCAAAUCCUACCGUAGCACAUGCCAAUUUAUAAAAGAUAUAUGCCAAUCAACAUUAUUGCUGGGAAACUUUUGAUUUAUUUAAGAAAGAAAGAUUGGAAGUUUGCCCCUGAAACAAUUCGAAUCGGCAUCUUCAAAUAAGUUCUCAUUUUUUCCAUCCAACAAUAUUUAAUGAGUAGAACCGAUUAUUCCUAGCGUAGGUGGUAAAAGGCUUAAUGGUUGCUAUCCGAAGUUUCAAAUUCGAAUCUUAGUUGAUUCAUAUUUUCAGCUAAAUUUAUUUUUAAAUAAAAUAAACGAAACGGUUAGUAUGCUACCUAUCUCUCUCAAAAAUAAUAAUAAUAAUGANCGAAAAGAUUUAAAAUUUGAUUUCUAAACACUUCAAGUGGUAUAGAUCAUGUUCAACGGUGCCGAUCGUCGAUUCGGAGGCUCCAUCAUCGAAAAUAAAUGGGUGGCAACGGAGCCCGUUUGCUAUCGAUAGUAUUCUAGCUCAACUCAUAUAUAUAUAUAUAUAUAUAUAUAGAGGAGAGAGAGAGAGAGAGAGAGAGAGAGAGAGUCCGGCUACUAUACUGUUAUGAGUACGAUCGCCUUCGUACUUAUAAGUCGUUUUCGAUGAUAGAACUUUCGAAUCAACGAUCUAUAUCGUUAAACAUUAUCUAAGUCCAUUUAAAACUUUUAGAAAUUAAAUUUCAUAAUUUUUUAAAAUCAUUUAGCUUACGAUCAGAAAAUCUCAAAAUUGAUAAUUUUUAACGGCCGGUAUUAAAUACUUGUUAGUUUAACGGUGUAAAAGAAUCGGAAUCAGUUAAAUUUUUGAUAAAAAAUUUUGUUCACUAUCUAGAUAAAGAUCAAUAACUCCGAUAUUAAAUUAAGGAAUCCGAUUAUCCAUUUUUAGGAUGUUAUUCAAUUUUGAUCGUUCAUUUUAUACCCGCUUGAUGGACCUUAUUAUGAUUUUUGAAAAUUACGAAAUUUAUUUUCUAGAAAUUUUAAAUACUCUAGAUCAUAUUUAACGGUGUGGAUCGUCGAUUCUAAAACUACAUCAUCGAAAAUAAUUUAUGAGUACGAAGGGCUCUAUACUCAUAAGAGUAUAGUGUGAAAUAACCGUUGUGCUCUAAAAGCUUAAACUAUUAGAGAACGAUGCUUAUAUAAUUUUGUAUUUAACAUAUAAUAGCCCUACUCUCUCUCUCUCUCUCUAUAUAUAUAUAUAUACACCCUACAGAGAGAGACUUAGAGAGGGAGACUAGCUAUACAUAAUAAUAUUCUAAUAUUCUAAUUCAUAAAGUAAUGCCAUUUCAUUAACUAAGAGGAAUAUGUCUCAACUUCAACAUGUAUAUUGCUGUACCUCCUCUAUAUAUUCCCUAGAGAGAGAGAGAGAGAGAGAGAGAGAGAGAGAGAGAGAGAGAGGUGUGGUUUAUUGGGGAGUGAACUAAUAAGAGUAGGAAGUAAUCAUGGGAAGGGAAACAAAGUGAAUGAAUGAGUGGAGGGGUCAUCAUCAUUUAAACAGUAUACAUAGAAGUUAAAAGGAGGACAUGUACAUGCUGCAGUUAAAUUAUCACUGCCACCCACUGCCUCCCACAUUUAUUUGCAUUUGUCCUUCCCCCUCUCGCCUCAUGCAUUAAUUUUCAUUUUCAUUUUUUCGGAGAAAAAUAUAUGGUAUGCAUAUUUGUUUUAUUCCAUACAUCCACACAUGCACAUAACAUUAGCACCUCAGUUUAAAAUUUUCAAUUCGUCGGAACCCAUCAAAGUACUAUAUAUAUCUUAGGAACCAAGAGAGUCGAAUCAAUUUAGUUGAAUUUUGAGUUGAAUCUACUUAUGUUUUGUUGACAAGGACCAUUAAUAAUACAUAAAACUAUCUGCUGGGACCUAGAUACUCCAUUCUUCGGAAUUAGACUGAAAUAGGAGCAAUUUAAAAGAGAUUAACAUGAUAGACGGAAAAACGUUUUGUACACACAAACCAAAACUUUUAGCCACCGUUUGGUUGGGGGUUAAGGGGUGGAAUAACCCCUUAACCCCCAAUUUAUACCCAAACACCACUCUUUUGGGGUGGGGUUAGUAAACCCCACCCCAAACCUUACUAACCCCACCCCAAACCGGGUUAGUGGGGUUUACUAACCCCACUCUCCCUCCCAACUUUAACCCCGCACGCAUCCCGAGUCCUCACCUUUUUCUUCUUUAUCAAUCAUUAACCCCACUCCCCCUCCCAACUUUAACCCCGCACGCAUCCCGAGCUCUCACCUUUUUCUUCUUUAUUAAUCAUUAUCUUUUUAUCCCACCUACUUUAACCAAACACUUUUUUUCACUAUCCUAGACUAACUCCAAUCUCCAACCAAACAUAAAAAAAUUUUAACACCAUUUUAACCCUGAACUUAACCCUAUCCCUGAAAUAGCUACUUUUUCUUAACCCCGAACCAAACGGGGGCUUAGUUGCUAAAAGUAGCUUAGAAGAUAUUCCGAGAUGUCGUUGAUGUGUUAGAUUUUAAACUAGCUUCUGGUGCGUGUAAUAAGUCUGAAAAGCUGUAUCAACUAUCAAUUAUCUUUCAUCUUACAAAAGUUAACUCAUUAGAGUACAUCCUGAGAAACAUAGAAUAUUGCUGUAUUUGUGGAAAAUAUAAUAAUUAAUGUCGACCUUAUCCAAAUUAAUAAGCAUGCUACAAAUUUCUAGUGCAGAAUAUUUGUCACGCCCUUUUAUAGCAAGAUAACCUCCAUCUUUUCCUUUAUCUGCUGCUCCUUCUUUGACAAAUGUAGCCAUUACCUCUAUCGAAAGGAUGCCUAAAUAAAUUACAUAUGUAUAAUCCCUGCAUAUAGAGGACUCUCGUAGUUUCUUUAUUUUCUCUUUUUUUGUUUGGAAUGAAUGCACUCAUAUGUAUAAUGUGUCGGAUCGUUGGCGCUAACCAUUAAUCUCAAAAAUUCAAGUUGUUAGAAAUAUACAACCAAUUCACUUAAAGCGUAUAGAUACAGCGCCCACGGAUCUCAAUUAUGACUCGGCCCACUUAGCCUCACGUCACUUCGAAUAUAACUCGGCCCACCCAACCUAACGUCAUUUCAAACAUGACUUGGCCUAACAUGACCUCCCGCCACAGGACAGACAGUAUGCUGGCUCAUUUAAGCCAACAUAAUGGUUUCGCAAAAACAAAAAAAAUUUCUCGAACCUGUUUGAGCAAGACAUGCUAAUCAUGCUUGUUUCGGUCCCAGUAAUUAGCAAUGUUAACAGUAUAUGCACAGCUAAGGAGAGAUGUACUCAAAUGAGAGGGGCUCGUUUCAUUCUCCCAGAUGUUCUUGAGAUGUGUUUAAUUGUAAAUAAAUCGAGUGCAAUUUUUAUAUAAGUCUACAGCGUUGACGUAUCUACUGUAUUAUACUGUGCAUUUGUAUUGGAGUUCGAUUUCUUAAUUAUACAAACACAAGUAUUCUUAUCUCGUUAAUUUUAUGUACGGUGGAUUCGGGUCAUGUGACGACAUUUUUGUCUCACGUGAGCUCCGGGAAUCUCGCUUCCACGUAUGUAUAUGAUAUAUCCGUCUCUCACAUUCCCCCAUUACUCAAAAUCACACACAUUCUCAAAUCCCAACGAUUUGACCUAUACAUUGCUGCACGAUACCACCACAUAGUAACUUUGACAUGUGGCAUCAAACAAACGGCCCAGAUCAAAUUAUGAAAAACUUUCUCAUUUUAGAUUAACUGUGUAUUGGAUUCGAAAAACUUAAAUCAAUCCGAUCAGAUGAGAUUCGAAUUAGCUCGAUUUCGACUCGGACCCGAUAGACCUGAGCUGAUGGGUCAUUCGAAUGUUCGAAUGUUUAACAUUACCACUUUGCCAAUAUAUAUCCCAACUUUUAAUUAAAAAACUAUAUAUGUAAUUUUCAAGUCAACUUACAAGUCACACGCUAAUAACUCCAUUCAUUUAUUGCACGUCCAAUCCCCAUCCAAACUUGGAUUUGACAAGUUUGCUGUCCAGAAUUAUUGAUUGAAGCCGAACAAGCGACUCGUGCCAAAUUUUUUAGCUCAUAGUAAAUACGUGAUAAAUUUAUUAAAUGUCAUUAUUGUUUGCUCAUUAAGCUUAAUUAGAUUUAAUGAACCUGAUCUGAUCUGAUUCCAGUAAAAAUUAUCGGCCUAAAAUGCGCAAUGAGAUCAAGUUAUAUAGAAUUACGUUUUCCAAUCAAUAUGUACCCACUAUAUAAUUAUUAGUCCUUUUCUUUAUACAUAUAUAAUGAACUCUCCCAACAUUUUGUCAUAUCACCAAUUUCCUAGCUUUCACAAAAGCCACACAUAAUCGACCAUUCGUAUGAUCUUCAUUCCAGUAUAAAGUUAGUUGUCUCCAUGCCACAUUAAUACAUAGAGAAGCAACCGAGAAGUCCAUUCUUAAAUGACUAUUUAGGCAUGAGUACGAUUUAUGAAUGCCUUAUUACUUUUUGGACCACUAUCUUUUUAGGCCCACAAUGCAUCUUAUCUUCGUGCGACAUGCAUUUUGUGUAUAGAGAAAUUGUUUUUAUCAACUGUAUUAUAAAUCUUUUUUACGGUAGCUCGCGUGUAUGUUGAUUGGCGAAGUGAAGGUAGGUCAAAGCUUUUGCUGUCGACAGCCGAAAGUACUUGGCAAAUUCUGUGAGGCCUAUUAGAUUAAGCCGGAUCAGUUCCAACUCUUCAUUAUGUGGAACUUAGAUGGCACAGUUUUAAAAGCCACUUUUGAUCUUAAAACGGAGUGAGUCGAGCUUGAAUUGAGUUGGGCACUUUGUGAUUUUAAGUUCUAGUUGGUUUGAAAGUGAAUUUCCUACUCUCCGAUAAGUACUACCGAAAUUCCAAAAUUCGUUUCGACAUCUUGAGCUACUCUCUUAAAUAGUGAGCCACAACUCAUGUAGUGGUCCUUGUGAACACGCGGCCCCAUCACUUUGGGUCACAGGAGAGUGAGCAUGCAACUUACACUUGAUAAAGAAAGGUCUUAGGUUAGGGAUAGACACAUUGGUCCGACGAAUGGGUUUAGACGCACGAGUGAACUCGUGGUGUGACUCGUCAAUAUAAUUGGGAUUGAAGUAGUUGAGAACUUCGGCAAGUAAUUGGGAUUGAAGUAGUUCCAUGUUAUGAGUUGAAAGUUUUUUGCUGCAGCUAAAAACUAAAAUGUCCGAGUUCGAGUACCAAAAGUUUUUAUUUAGAGCUUACGAUUUUGCUGGAGAGAAAAGUUAACUGGAAAAUUUUAGCAGAACCUAAUAGCUUGAUCCAGCUAUUAGGUUAUAUUUGCAAAUACAUAUAAUCGAAGAGGGUAUUUACGGAAAGAUCGAUCUUGGACAACUUUUUAGGACACUGAAUUAAUCUUUUCUCAUUUGUACAGGGUUGGUGCUAAAUGAUUGCAUAAAGAGUCAGUUGCCUAUCUCAAUCAAAAUUCAAUUGAGUGUCUUGUCAAACGAGAAACAUUAUACGCCACAAUAGUUUUUUUUUUUUUUUUUUAAAAAAAAACUUAGCAUUCAACUCGGGAAAUUAAUUACAUCAAAUUCUCUUUAUAGCUUUAAUUAGCGAUAAUUAAUUUAAUCUGCGCCUACGGGGAACUCCUUUUACUUAUCUUCAAUUUAAUUAUGGUACGUGCAUAUAUUAAUUAUCUUCUCAUAGAUUAAUUGAACUUGUAUAAAUAAUAUACCCAGGGUGUGCCAAUGUCCUUUUUUCCCCUCUCUUUUGGUGAUACAUUCGUAAAAAUUGCUUUGAGUAUCAUAACCUCUUAAUUCAUCAAAGCUAGGAAAUUAAAUAACAAUUUCAUUCCCCAAAACAUACUAGAAAGGAAAAAAGGGGGGGAAAAAAAAGAAGCUUGGUUUCUACAAUUUCGUUUGUGCCUUUAAUUACUAUGUAGCACAAAAAGCUUAGGAAACUCCUACAAACUAGUGGUACAUUUGGUCUAGAAUACUAGAAUAUUGUACAAUAAAAGUAUCACUGUACCACGCAAACAAUUGUGUGGCAAUACAAGGCCUUAAUUACUUAGCAUUUUGAUCGAGCAAGGGUAUUCUCUAAUGUUCCAUUUGAGGAAUAAAGUGAUCACUUACAAUGAACUAAUAUUUACUACACAGUAGUAUCUCUUUGUAUUUGAAUAGGAAAAUGGCUUGAGGUGACUCUACACAAUGCUGCAUUGCGUUCGGCCGACAAAGCGGAGUUCUGAGUUGUUUUAUUUAAUUUCUAGUAGUCUACAAACACUUAGGAAUCCGGGCAAAAAUUUGAGUAACAUUCAGCCUUUAUUUGCUUGCAAAGCAUCGAUAUGCUGUUUUUGGGUUAAUUUGUGGCCUUGAGCUUAAUUAAUGCCUAGGGUUUUGCAAAUGUGACACAAUGCAAUCCAAUCAUCUCUCAAGGCGCACUCCAAGGCAUGUUUAAUAUUCUCUCUCUCUCUCUCUCUCUCUUUCUCUCUCUCUAAUAAACGUUACGAAAAUGUGCUUAAAAACAUACAUGAUGGAUAUAAAAAAUACGUAUUAGACCUCAUAUAUAGAAUAGCCCUAGCUAAAAUAUCAAUCAGAUAGAAAAUAAUUAUGAAAUAUAUAUAUUUAAUAUAUGAUUUGUAUUUUUUUUUUUGAAGUGCGAGAAAUAUAUUUGAUAUAUAAUUUACACAAGAAAAAAAAAAGGGUAUAUAUUAAAAAGCAAAAUGUAGCUUCCAAUAAGA
rnacentral:lncRNA from 1 species